UACGUAGGGUGCAAGCGUUAAUCGGAAUUACUGGGCGUAAAGCGUGCGCAGGCGGUUGUGCAAGACAGAUGUGAAAUCCCCGGGCUCAACCUGGGAAUUGCAUUUGUGACUGCACGGCUAGAGUGUGUCAGAGGGGGGGUAGAAUUCCACGUGUAGCAGUGAAAUGCGUAGAGAUGUGGAGGAACACCGAUGGCGAAGGCAGCCCCCCUGGGUCAAGAUUGACGCUCAUGCACGAAAGCGUGGGGAGCAAACAGG
rnacentral:rRNA from 1 species